rnacentral:rRNA from 1 species
AGGAUGAACGCUGGCGGCGUGCCUAAGACAUGCAAGUCGAGUGGGUUUAGACCCACGGCGAACGGGUGAGUAAUACCUAGGAACUUUCUUUAAGUGGAGCAUAACCAGUCGAAAGAUUGGAUAAUACUCCAUGUGAUCGUAAGAUCAAAGUCGCAAGACGCUUAAAGUGAGGCCUGGGCACCAUCAGCUAGUUGGUAAGGUAACGGCUUACCAAGGCUAUGACGGUUAGGGGCCCCGAGAGGGGAGACCCCCACACUGGAACUGCGACACGGUCCAGACUCCUACGGGAGGCAGCAGUUUGGAAUUUUGGACAAUGGGCGAAAGCCUGAUCCAGCGACGCCGCGUGGACGAUGAAGGCCUUCGGGUCGUAAAGUCCUUUGCUCGGGAACAAUAUUUUGAGCGUACCGAGAGAAUAAGAGGUUGCUAACUCUGUGCCAGCAGCCGC